rnacentral:rRNA from 1 species
AUACGAAGGGGGCUAGCGUUGUUCGGAAUUACUGGGCGUAAAGCGCGCGUAGGCGGACUGAUCAGUUGGGGGUGAAAUCCCAGGGCUUAACCCUGGAACUGCAUUUGAAACUGGGAGUCUAGGGACCAGGAGAGGUGAGUGGAACUCCUAGUGUAGAGGUGGAAUUCGUAGAUAUUAGGAAGAACACCAGUGGCGAAGGCGGCUCACUGGCUCGGAACUGACGCUGAGAUGCGAAAGCGUGGGGAGCGAACAGGAUUAGAAACCCUAGUAGUCC